UGGGAAGUAAAAAGUCGUAACAAGGUUUCCGUAGGUGAACCUGCGGAAGGAUCAUUAAAGAGUAAGGGUGCUCAGCGCCCGACCUCCAACCCUUUGUUGUUAAAACUACCUUGUUGCUUUGGCGGGACCGCUCGGUCUCGAGCCGCUGGGGAUUCGUCCCAGGCGAGCGCCCGCCAGAGUUAAACCAAACUCUUGUUAUUUAACCGGUCGUCUGAGUUAAAAUUUUGAAUAAAUCAAAACUUUCAACAACGGAUCUCUUGGUUCUCGCAUCGAUGAAGAACGCAGCGAAAUGCGAUAAGUAAUGUGAAUUGCAGAAUUCAGUGAAUCAUCGAAUCUUUGAACGCACAUUGCGCCCCUUGGUAUUCCGAGGGGCAUGCCUGUUCGAGCGUCAUUACACCACUCAAGCUAUGCUUGGUAUUGGGCGUCGUCCUUAGUUGGGCGCGCCUUAAAGACCUCGGCGAGGCCACUCCGGCUUUAGGCGUAGUAGAAUUUAUUCGAACGUCUGUCAAAGGAGAGGAACUCUGCCGACUGAAACCUUUAUUUUUCUAGGUUGACCUCGGAUCAGGUAGGGAUACCCGCUGAACUUAAGCAUAUCAAUAAGCGGAGGAA
rnacentral:misc_RNA from 1 species